rnacentral:rRNA from 1 species
GUUAAAAAGCUCGUAGUUGGAUUUCUGUUGAGGACGUCCGGUCCGCACUAUGUGCGUGUAUCUGGUUCGGCCUUGGCAUCCUCUUGAGGAACGUUUCUGCGCUUGAUUGCGUGGAGCGGUAUUCAAGACUUUUACUUUGAGGAAAUUAGAGUGUUCACGGCAGGCAAGCGCCCUGAAUACAUUAGCAUGGAAUAAUAAUAUAGGAUUUUGGUUCUAUUUUGUUGGUUUCUAGAGCUGGGAUAAUGAUUAAUAGGGAUAAUUGGGGGCAUUUGUAUUAACGCGUCAGAGGUGGAAUUCUUGGAUUGCGUUACGACAAACUACUGCGAAAGCAUUUGCCAAGGAUGUUUUCAUUGAUCAAGAACGAAAGUAUGGGGAUCGAAGAUGAUUAGAUACCGUCGUAGUCUAUACCAUAAACUAUGCCGACUAGGGAUUGGAGGUCGUUCUUUUUAUGACUCCUUCAGCACCUCAUGAGAAAUCAAAGUCUUUGGGUUCCGGGGGGAGUAUAGUCGCAAGGCUGAAACUUAAAGGAAUUGACGGAAGGGCACCACCAGGAGUGGAGCCUGCGGCUUAAUUUGACUCAACACGGGGAAACUCACCAGGUCCAGACAUAGUAAGGAUUGACAGAUUGAUAGCUCUUUCUUGAUUCUAUGGGUGGGGGUGCAUGGCCGUUCUUAGUUGGUGGAGUGAUUUGUCUGGUUUAUUUCGAUAACG